UACAGAGGUCUCAAGCGUUGUUCGGAUUCAUUGGGCGUAAAGGGUGCGUAGGCGGCGCGGUAGUCGGGUGUGAAAUCUUGGAGCUUAACUCCGAAACUGCAUUCGAUACUGCCGUGCUUGAGGACUGGAGAGGAGACUGGAACUUCCGGUCGGAGCGGUGAAAUGCGUUGAUAUCGGAAGGAACGCCGGUGGCGAAAGCGACGUGCUGGAUCUCUUCUGACGCUGAGGCGCGAAAGCCAGGGGAGUGAACGGG
rnacentral:rRNA from 1 species